AUUGAACGCUGGCGGCAUGCCUUACACAUGCAAGUCGAACGGCAGCACGGGAGUAAUCCUGGUGGCGAGUGGCGAACGGGUGAGUAAUACAUCGGAACGUGCCCAGUAGUGGGGAGUAGCCGGCCGAAGACCGGAGUUAAUACCGCAUACGACCUGAGGGUGGAAAGACGGGGAGUCGCAAGACCUCGCGCUAUUGGAGCGGCCGA
rnacentral:rRNA from 1 species